GGUCAAGCUAGUAAGGGCAUAGGGUGGAUGCCUUGGCACCAGGAGCCGAUGAAGGACGGGAUAAGCGCCGAUACGCCUCGGGUAGCCGCAAGUAGGCGUUGAUCCGGGGAUUUCCGAAUGGGGGAACCCACCUAGGGCAAACCCUAGGUAUCACCUACUGAAUACAUAGGUAGGUGAGGGCAUACCGGGGGAACUGAAACAUCUAAGUACCCCGAGGAAAAGAAAGAAAACUCGAUUCCCUAAGUAGCGGCGAGCGAAAGGGGAACAGCCCAAACCCGGCACUCAACUGAACUUCGCUUACUCAACUGAACUUCGUUCAGUUGAGAAUGUAAAAUUAAAAAUUGAAAAUGUAAAAUUGGGAUAAUGGAAAAAUAAUUUUAAAUUUUGCAUUUUACAUUUUCAAUUCUCAACUCAAGCGGAGCUGAGUUGAGU
rnacentral:ncRNA from 1 species